rnacentral:rRNA from 1 species
GUGGGGAAUAUUGGGCAAUGGGGGAAACCCUGACCCAGCAACGCCGCGUGAGGGAAGAAGGUUUUCGGAUUGUAAACCUCUGUCCUUGGUGACGAAGGAAGUGACGGUAACCAAGGAGGAAGCCCCGGCUAACUACGUGCCAGCAGCCGCGGUAAUACGUAGGGGGCAAGCGUUGUCCGGAAUGACUGGGCGUAAAGGGCGUGUAGGCGGCCGAUUAAGUCUGGAGUGAAAGUCCUGCUUUCAAGGUGGGAAUUGCUUUGGAGACUGGUUGGAUUGAGUGCGGAAGGGGUAAGUGGAAUUCCCAGUGUAGCGGUGAAAUGCGUAGAGAUUGGGAGGAACACCAGUGGCGAAGGCGACUUACUGGGCCGUAACUGACGCUGAGGCGCGAAAGCGUGGGGAGCGAACAGGAUUAGAAACCCGAGUAGUCC